AUGGAAAUCCUGCGGGAUUUUGGCCCUGCCUCCGGACUACACAUCAACCCAUCAAAAUCGACGGCCUUACCCAUUAGAUGUGAGAAUAUAGACCUAGGGUAUGUGUUGCAAAAUUUUGGAGGGGCAGAGGGGCAAUUCCCGACCACUUAUUUAGGCUUGCCGCUGACACUAGCUAGGCUACGACUGGCAAACCUACAAUUCAUCAUUGACAGGAUCAAGGCUCGACUUGCGGGUUGGAAAGGAAAACUCCUGCCAAUAGCUAGUAGGCGAGUACUGGUCCGAUGUGUCCUCAGUGCUAUGCCUACCUUUGCUCUAACUGUCCUCAAAGUGCCAAAGAAGCUACUCAGGGAGAUCGACAGAUGCUGGCGUAGAUUCCUUUGGAAGCAAGACGAGGCGAUCACAGGCGGUAGCUGCAAGGUUAACUGGUCCGCGGUGUGCACUCCUACAUCACAUGUAGGACUGGGGAUCCUCGAUCUCGAGUGUUUCAGCCACGCCCUUAGAUUACGAUGGCUCUGGAUAGCCUGGACGGACCCUGAGCGGCCCUGGGUCGGCAUGGAGCCGCCAUGCAGCAGCAUCGACAAAGCCCUUUUCACAGCGGCGACCAUAGUCACCAUCGGAGAUGGCGCGAAGGCACUCUUCUGGCACUCCCCUUGGUGCAGGCCGUGCACCCUGGCCAGUUCCUUCCCUCUCCUCUACUCGCACUCCAAGCGGAAAGACAGGAUGGUGCGCGAGGCUCUCACACAUGAUACUUGGAUAAAAGACCUGCGGCACGGAAACCUACAACCUCUGCUACUAGAAUUUGUCAGGCUGCACCGCAAGAUCGCGCCGACAGUGCUAACAGAAGGGAGUACUGACCAGAUUAGGUGGAAUCUAGAGGCUAGGGGACAAUACUCGGCAAGCUCGGCUUACGCCGUGCAAUUCCAGGGCAGAUUACUAGCUGAUUGGCACAAGUUGAUUUGGGAAGCAAAGGUUCCUGGAUGA
rnacentral:rRNA from 1 species